rnacentral:rRNA from 1 species
AGAUACCCGGGUAGUCCUAGCCGUAAACGNUACUCGCUAGGUGUCGGCCACGGUGCGACCGUUGUCGGUGCCGUAGGGAAGCCGUGAAGCGAGCCACCUGGGAAGUACGGCCGCAAGGCUGAAACUUAAAGGAAUUGGCGGGGGAGCACCACAACGGGUGGAGCUUGCGGUUUAAUUGGAUUCAACGCCGGAAAUCUUACCGGGACCGACAGCAACAUGAAGGCCAGGCUGAAGACUUUGCCGGAUUAGCUG